rnacentral:rRNA from 1 species
GAUGAACGCUGGCGGCGUGCCUAACACAUGCAAGUCGAGCGAACGGACGAGAAGCUUGCCUCUCUGAUAUUUGCGUCGGACGGGUGAGUAACACGUGGAUAACCUCCCUAUAAGACUGGGAUAACUUCGGGAAACCGGAGCUCUUAUCGGAUAAUCUUUUGAACCGCAUGGUUCAAAAGUGAAAGACGGUCUUGCUUUCACAUAUACAUGGACGCGCGCUGCAUUAGCUAGUUGGUAGGUAACGGCUUACCAAGGCAACAAUGCAUAGCCGACCUGAGAGGGUGACCGGCCACACUGGACCGGGGAAACGGUCCAAACUCCUACGGGAGGAAGCAGUAGGGAAUCUUCCGAAAUGGGCGAAGGCCUGACGGAGCAACGCCGCGUGAGUAAUGAAGGUCUUCGGAUCGUAAGCCUCUGUUAUUAGGGAGGAACAUAUGUGUAAGUAACUGUGCACAGCUUGACGGUACCUAAUCAGAAAGCCACGGCUAACUACGUG